AGGAAAGUAAUUAAGGGCAGACGGUGGAUGCCUUGGCUCUCGGAGGCGAAGAAGGACGUGAUAAGCUGCGAAAAGCCGUGGGGAGGUGCAAAUAACCUUUGAUCCAUGGAUAUCCGAAUGGGGCAACCCGGCUGGUUGAAGGCCAGUCACCUCGUAAGAGGAGCGAACGUGGGGAACUGAAACAUCUAAGUACCCAUAGGAGAAGAAAACAAAAGUGAUUCCGCAAGUAGUGGCGAGCGAACGCGGAACAGCCCAAACCAAUAUUGUUUAGGCAAUAUUGGGGUUGUAGGACUACGAUAUAGCAAGAAGUUAGGGAAAUAGAACGUUUUGGAAAGAACGACCAUAGUGGGUGAUAGUCCCGUAUAUGUAUCCUUAAUAAAGCUUAGUAGUAUCCUGAGUAGCGCGGGACACGUGAAAUCCUGUGUGAAUCUGCGGGGCCCAUCCCGUAAGGCUAAAUACUCCCGAGAGACCGAUAGUGAACCAGUACCGUGAGGGAAAGGUGAAAAGAACCUUUAGUAAAGGAGUGAAAUAGACCCUGAAACCGUCUGCUUACAAGCGGUCGGAGCACCUUUAAGGUGUGACGGCGUGCCUUUUGCAUAAUGAACCUACGAGUUACUUUCAGUGGCAAGGUUAAGGAUUUUAAGGUCCGCAGCCGAAGUGAAAGCGAGCCUGAACAGGGCGAAUUAGUCACUGUGAGUAGACGCGAAACCAAGUGAUCUACCCAUGUGCAGGUUGAAGGUUAGGUAACACUAACUGGAGGACCGAACCGGUAAGCGUUGAAAAGCUUUCGGAUGACGUGUGGGUAGGGGUGAAAGGCUAAUCAAACUUGGAGAUAGCUCGUACUCCCCGAAAUGCAUUUAGGUGCAGCCUCAGUUUUAGUUUUAUAUCAGGUAGAGCGACUGAUUGGAUGCGAGGGCUUCGCCGCCUAUCAAGUCCAGAUAAACUCCGAAUGGGUAUAAAAUAUUGACUGGGAGUGAGGGCAUGGGUGCUAAGGUCCAUGUCCGAAAGGAGAAGAAUCCAGACCAUCAGCUAAGGUCCCGAAAUAACAGUUAAGUUGAACUAACGAAGUAUGGUCGCAAUGACAGCUAGGAUGUUGGCUUGGAAGCAGCCAUUCAUUCAAAGAGUGCGUAACAGCUCACUAGUCGAGUGACCGUGCGUGGAUAAUACUCGGGCAUAAACUGUUUACCGAAGCUAUGGAUGUCGUAAGACGUGGUAGGGGAGCAUUCUACUCUGCGUUGAAGAUGUGAGAUAACUCAUGUUGGAGCGUGUAGAAAAGCAAAUGUAGGUAUAAGUAACGAUAAGGAGGGCGAGAAACCCUCCCGCCGAAAGACUAAGGCUUCCUGAUCAACGCUAAUCGGAUCAGGGUUAGUCGGGUCCUAAGGUUAAGCCGAACGGCGAUACCGAUGGUUGAACGGGUUAAUAUUCCCGUACUACUUAUGUGAGUGAUGUGGGGACGGAGAAGUGACACUGCUGCCACCUGACGGAAUAGGUGGUUGAAGGGUGUAGGCGUUGAUAUUUGUAGGUAAAUCCGCAGAUAGAGCUGAAACCUUACAGUACCAUGCGUGCCUGGCACAAAUGGAUAAUGCAGGUAAUCAGGCUCCCAAGAAAAUCCGCUAAACUUAUCACAUAAGUACCCGUACCGUAAACGGACACACGUAGUCGGGUUGAGAAUACUAAGGCGCUCGAGUGAUUCACGGUUAAGGAACUAGGCAAAAUGGUCCUGUAACUUCGGGAUAAAGGACGCCAGCCUUCUUGGCUGGCCGCAGAGAAUAGGCCCAGGCGACUGUUUAACAAAAACACAUGGCUAUGCUAAUUUUAAAGAAGAUGUAUAUAGCCUGACACCUGCCCGGUGCUGGAAGGUUAAGAGGAGAUGUCAUAGGUAACUAGAAGCAUUGAAUUGAAGCCCCAGUAAACGGCGGCCGUAACUAUAACGGUCCUAAGGUAGCGAAAUUCCUUGUCGGGUAAGUUCCGACCUGCACGAAUGGUGUAACGAUCUGGGCACUGUCUCAACCGUGAGCUCGGUGAAAUUGUAGUAUCGGUGAAGAUGCCGAUUACCCGCGAUGGGACGAAAAGACCCCGUGAACCUUUACUAUAGCUUUACAUUGAGUUUGGGUAAUGAAUGUGUAGGAUAGGCCGGAGGCUGUGAAGUGGGGACGCUAGUUCUUGUGGAGCCAUCGUUGAAAUACGGCCCUUUUAUUAUCUGAGUUCUAACUCGCGUAUAUGCGAGGACACUGUAUGGUGGGUAGUUUGACUGGGGUGGUCGCCUCCAAAAGUGUAACGGAGGCUUCUAAAGGUGCCCUCAGACCGAUUGGUAACCGGUCGUAGAGUGUAAUGGCAAAAGGGCGCUUGACUGAGAGACAGACACGUCGACCAGGAAGGAAACUUGAGCAUAGUGAUCCGGUGGUUCCGUAUGGAAGGGCCAUCGCUCAAAGGAUAAAAGGUACUCCGGGGAUAACAGGCUGAUCGCUCCCAAGAGCUCAUAUCGACGGAGCGGUUUGGCACCUCGAUGUCGGCUCGUCACAUCCUGGGGCUGGAGAAGGUCCCAAGGGUUGGGCUGUUCGCCCAUUAAAGUGGCACGCGAGCUGGGUUCAGAACGUCGUGAGACAGUUCGGUCUCUAUCUAUCGUGGGCGCAGGAGAUUUGCGUGGCUCUGACACUAGUACGAGAGGACCGUGUUGGACGAACCUCUGGUUUACCGGUUGUUCCGCCAGGAGCAUUGCCGGGUAUCUACGUUCGGAUUGGAUAAGUGCUGAAAGCAUCUAAGUACGAAGCCAGCCUCAAGAUUAGAUCUCCCUUAAGGGUUGUUGUAGACUACGACGUUGAUAGGACGCAGGUGUAAGUGCAGUAAUGUAUGUAGCCGAGCGUUACUAAUAGCCCGUGACUUUUCUGG
rnacentral:rRNA from 1 species